CAGUAGCCGCGGGAAUACGUAGGUGGCAAGCGUUGUCCGGAAUGAUUGGGCGUAAAGGGCGCGCAGGCGGCUGUGUAAGUCUGUCUAGAAAGUGCGGGGCUAAACCCCGUGAGAGGAUGGAAACUGGACAGCUGAGAGUGUCGGAGAGGAAAGCGGAAUUCCUAGUGUAGCGGUGAAAUGCGUAGAUAUUAGGAGGAACACCGGUGGCGAAAGCGGCUUUCUGGACGACAACUGACGCUGAGGCGCGAAAGCCAGGGGAGCAAACGGGAUUAGAUACCCCAGUAGUCCCUGUCUCUUAUAC
rnacentral:rRNA from 1 species